rnacentral:rRNA from 1 species
AACGCUAGCUACAGGCUUAACACAUGCAAGUCGGAGGGGCAGCAUGGUCUUAGCUUGCUAAGGCCGAUGGCGACCGGCGCACGGGUGAGUAACACGUAUCCAACCUGCCGUCUACUCUUGGACAGCCUUCUGAAAGGAAGAUUAAUACAAGAUGGCAUCAUGAGUCCGCAUGUUCACAUGAUUAAAGGUAUUCCGGUAGACGAUGGGGAUGCGUUCCAUUAGAUAGUAGGCGGGGUAACGGCCCACCUAGUCUUCGAUGGAUAGGGGUUCUGAGAGGAAGGUCCCCCACAUUGGAACUGAGACACGGUCCAAACUCCUACGGGAGGCAGCAGUGAGGAAUAUUGGUCAAUGGGCGAGAGCCUGAACCAGCCAAGUAGCGUGAAGGAUGAAGGUCCUACGGAUUGUAAACUUCUUUUAUACGGGAAUAAAGUUUCCUACGUGUAGGAUUUUGUAUGUACCGUAUGAAUAAGCAUCGGCUAACUCCGUG